rnacentral:ncRNA from 2 species
UAUGAUCAACGGUGCUUCGGUUCUGGUGGGGAGCAGCCAUCAGAGGUAACGGGGAAAGCUUGGUGUAAAUCCAACACUGUCCCGCAACUGUAAGGAGAUGGAAAACAUCUACAUCAUCUCUAAGUCAGAAUGCCCGCCAAAGUGAGUCUGUUUAA